rnacentral:rRNA from 1 species
CGUGGGUGACCUGCCCUCCACUCUGGGAUAAGCCUGGGAAACUGGGUCUAAUACUGGAUAUGACCUGCGAUUGCAUGAUUGUGGGUGGAAAGUUUUUCGGUGGGGGAUGGGCCCGCGGCCUAUCAGCUUGUUGGUGGGGUGAUGGCCUACCAAGGCGACGACGGGUAGCCGGCCUGAGAGGGCGACCGGCCACACUGGGACUGAGACACGGCCCAGACUCCUACGGGAGGCAGCAGUGGGGAAUAUUGCGCAAUGGGCGGAAGCCUGACGCAGCGACGCCGCGUGGGGGAUGACGGCCUUCGGGUUGUAAACCUCUUUCGGCCCCGACGAAGCGGAAGUGACGGUAGGGGUGGAAGAAGCACCGGCCAACUACGUGCCAGCAGCCGCGGUAACACGUAGGGUGCGAGCGUUGUCCGGAAUUAUUGGGCGUAAAGAGCUCGUAGGCGGUGUGUCGCGUCGGCCGUGAAAACCUGCAGCUUAACU